AACUUUUGGCAAUGGAUCUCUUGGCUCUCCCAUCGAUGAAGAACGCAGCGAAAUGCGAUAAGUAAUGUGAAUUGCAGAAUUCAGUGAAUCAUCGAAUUUUUGAACGCACCUUGCGCCCUUUGGUAUUCCGAAGGGCAUGCCUGUUUGAGUGUCAUUAAAUUCUCAACCUUGGAAGCUUUUUCUAGUUUGCGAGGCUUGGUUGUGAGGGUUUUGCUCGCUUACUUUAAGUUGGAUGGUCUGCUUUCUUUGUGUUCUUUAGUGUGAUCCGUGGGAUAUUGUCACUUGGUGUGAGGAUUUUCUACGAGGUCUGACUCUGUUACAUGACUUGUUGGUACCUUCGUAUAACCGGCUCUUUCAUAUACACUAUCAUUGACAAUUUGACCUCAAAUCAGGUGGGACUACCCGCUGAACUUAAGCAUAUCAAUAAGCGGAGGCU
rnacentral:misc_RNA from 1 species